CCCAGCUGUACCCAGGGGAAGGCGGUGUCCUCGAAGGCCCAUGGCAGGAGGGGAGCCAGCCCCAGGCUAGGGAAAAACCCUUGGGCUUGUGGCCUCUGCAACAAUGGCCGUAAACUUCACUCCUCCACAGGCCGGGGGAAGUGUCCUCGUGGGCACGUGCUCGCGGAUGGAGCUGACAGCCAUUUGUUCCGAAUGAAAUCGGUUCGUCUUGCCUCUUUGCCGGGACGGAGGCCUCUGGGAGUUAGCGCCUUCUCAGCAGCCUCAGGGCCUGCGCUGAGUGGAGUCUCCCAAGACCAGAGCGGGGCCCUCACAGGUCGGGGCCACAGCCCACACCCUGGAGUGGAACUCAGCCAUCGAGGCGAUGAAGCGUGGGUCCAUGCCACAGUGUGAGAGCGUGAUGCUAAGGAGAGGAGCCAGACGCCAAAGGCGCGUAGUGAAGGAUCCCAUUUACUCAAAGCGCCCAGGACAGGUGUGCCAGGGCCUCUGGGCCAAAGCAGACGGGCCUGGGGGCCAGCCCAGUGUGAAGGCGGUGGCAGCGGGGAAGGUGCCCUGAUUUCCGGCCCGUAUGGCAGAAUGGGGGAGUCGCCGUGGUUAAAAUGCGCAAGGUCGAGGAUGGGACUCAGACGGGACAGAGGUCAGGAAGACGUCGGGGAGCCCGAACGACCGCUGCCCCAGGGAGGCCGGGCCCCAAUCCCGACAACCCGCCAUCUUACCCUGUCGGGAAGAAUGUGCACAUGUGGCGAAGGACAGAGGCUGAGGGACCCUUGAUUCAGACAGAAGACAGGCAGAGACGGGAGCGGAAGGAGCCAGCAGCCUCCGGGAGCCGGAAGACGCAAGGGGCAGGUCAUUUCCCGCAGCUCCCAGAGGGGCGGCCUCGCGGACACCGUGACCUCAGCCCAGUGACGCCGAUUUUGGAUUCUGGCCUCCAGAUUUUUCCAAGGUUGAGCUUGUUGUGGAUUCACGGGCAGCUGUAAGAAGUAACACGGUCUCCCCCAACGGCAGCAUCUCACAGUGCGCCACUGGUGGGGGCUCCCCAGCGACGGAGCUUGGGCACAGAGCGUUCCCACCACCGAGAGUCUCCCACCUGCCGUCCUGUGCUGCCACAGUGCUCUCCCGCCUCCACCCCACCCUGACCCUGGGGACCACGAACGUGGUACCUGUUUCUAUAGCUUUGUCAUUUUGAGAAUGCCAUACAAACGGAAUCCUCUGGUGUGUAAACUUGUGUUGUUGUUGUUGUUGUUUUGUCACUUAGCAGAAUGUUCUGGAAGUCCAUCCAGGAUGUUGCAUGUAUGGACAGUCCCUUCCAUUCCACUGCUAAGCAGCGUCCGUGUGUGGAUGGGCUCCAGCUGGUCUGAGCACCUGCCCGUUGAAGGACAUCCGGGCUGUUUCCCAUUUGGGGUUAUUAUGAAUAAAGCUGCCAUAAACAUUUGUGUACAGGUUUUUGCAUGAAUGCAAGUUUCUGUUCUCUGAGAUAAUGCCCAGGGGUGCAACUGACAGGUUGUUUAGUGGCUGCGUGUUUAGUUUUUAAAGAAACCACCAAACCGUUUUCCAAAGUGGCUGCACCAUUUUGUAUUCCUGCCAGCCCCACCUGAGGGAUCCAGCGUCCCCCUGUCUGCAUCAGCAUUUGGUGGCGUCACUAUUUUUCAUUGUAGCCAUUUCGAUGGGAGUGUAAUGGGGUCUCAUUGCGCUUUUAAUCUGUGCUUCUUCAAUGAAUAAGUAUGUUUUUGUCUUUUAUGUGAUUAAUUGCCAGCUGUAAAUGCUCAGCUGACAUGUUUCUUCAUGUCGUCAGUUCAUCCCCUAAUUACAUAUUUGUGUUCUUACUGUUGAGUUUGAGAGUUCUUUAUGUAGCCUAGUUACUAGUCCUCUGUCAGAUUUUCAAUUUACAAAUAUUUUCUCCUAGUCUGUAGCUUAUCUUUACAUCUUCUUCCCAGGAUCUUUUGUGAAGCAAAAAUUUAUGUUCACACAAAAACCUGUACCCAAAUGUUUGUAGCAGCUUAACUCAUGAAAUGGCCCCAAACAGGAAACUGCCCGAUGUUUUUCAACAGGUAGGCACUUAAGCAAAGUGUUCCAUUUUUUUGACUUUUUGUCAAGCCAGUGACAUCUGUUGCCUACCACCUGCUCAGAAGUCUGAGCAUUUCUGGCCCCUGCAUCCUGGUAUCGGAGGUGCCAGGGAAAACACAACACAGACAAGCAAUGGGUGAAACAAUGCUUUCCUCGCACAGACAAGACUUGGCAAAAGCUGCUUCCAUAGUGGGCAUCGGCACGCCCAUGGCCAGCAGGCUCCUCGUGGCAGUUGGUGCAGGGCCGUGGCCUGCAUGCACCUGUCUUGUGCUGCAUCAGGUGGACCCUGUCCCCUGCAGGUGACAGAGAUAGCAGUGGGCUUGGCCAGAUGCUGUAUGGCGCACACACCUAAGCAGAACAGAGGAGGGCACAUCGCAUCUGAAACAAGGAAAGAUAGCCACACGAGGUGACAAGUCCAGCACAGGCUUUGUGGUACCUUUCCAUCUUGAUAAGGAAAUGUUCCAGGCCCAGUGCUCCUUCCUAUGCAGCCGAGUGUGGGGAUCAGAAGACUGCAAGCAGGAGACUGUCUUUCCCAACAUAUUUUGACUAAGCCCAGUUUACCCAUGUUUCCUUUUAUGGAUUGUGCUUUUGUGUCAAGUCUAAGAAUUCCUAUGGUUUUUUUUUUUUUCUAAAAAUUUUGUACUUUUACAUUCCACACGAAGUCCAUGAUACAUUUUGAAUUAAUUUUUGUAUAAGGUAUGAGUCUUAGGUGGAUGUUCGUGUUUUUGCCUAUGAAAAAGCAUUCUCUAUGCAUUUAAUGCUAUGCCUUUUCCUCUCAGCACUGCAUUAGCUGUAUCCCAAAAUUUUGAUAUGUUGUCUUUUUGUCUUAAUUCAGUUCAUUUUUUUUUAUUUCACUCAAGACUUCUUUGACUUGUGGGAUUAUUUUGUUUAGUUUCCAAGUGUUUGAAGAUCUUUCUGUUCUUGGACACUAGUUGGAUUCCAUUGUGGUCAGACUAUGCACUCUGUCUGAUUUUGAUUGUUUUAAAUUUGUUGAGAAUGUUUUAUGUCCUAGAUUAUAUGGCCUAUAUUGGCAUAUGUUUCAUGGAUAUUUGGAAAUAAUGUGUAUAAUGCCAUUGUUGCAUGGAAUGUUCUAUAAAUGUUAGUGAGACCCUAAUUGGAUUGAAUUGUUGGCUGAUGGUGUGAUUGAGUUCUUCUGGGGUUUUGCUGGUUUUCUAAGCAUUCCAACAAUUGUUGAGAAACUCUCCAACUCUAAUUGUAGGGUAUUUUCUAUUUUUCCUCUCGAUUCUAUCACUCUUGGCUUCACAUAUUUUUGUAGCUGUUUUUGGUGCAAACACAGUUAGCAUUGCUGUGUCUUCUUUUAUCACUAUAUAAUGUCCCUCUCCGUCUCUGGUAAUUUUCUUUGCUCUGAGGUCUGCUUUAUCUGGCAUUAAUAAAACCAAUUCUGCUUUUUUAAGAUUCAUGUUUGCAUGAUAUAACUUUUUCUACCCUUUCACUUUCAACCUGCCUAUACCAUUAUUAUAUUCUAAAUGAGUUUCUUGUAGAGAGACACCAUAUUAUUGAGCCAUGUUUUAAAAUCCACUUUGAUAAUGUCUGUCUUUUUAUUGGUGUAUUUAGAGCAUUUACAUUUAAUGUAGCUUUUAAUAUGUUAGGGCUUGAGUUUGUCAUUUUAUGUUUUGUUUUCAAUUUAUUCCCUCUGCUUUUUAUUUCUCUUGUUUAUACUUCUGUCUCCCUGUGGGUUACUGGAACAGAUUUUAGAAUUCCAUUUUUAGUUAACUAUUGUGUUUAGACGUUUAUCUUUGUAACUUCUAAAUUUCUUUUUUUAUUGUUUCUUUCUUGUUUAGGGGCCUGCCAUUAGCCAUUUAGCCUUUUGGGGUAGGUGUGCAGGUGACAAAUUCUCAGUUGUCUUUCCUCUAGGAAUGUCUUUAUUUUCCUUUAAUUCCUGAAGGACUUUUUUACUGAAUGAAGGAUUCUGGGUUGACAGUUCUUUUCUUUCAGCACUUGAAGUAAUUUUUG